rnacentral:lncRNA from 1 species
GGGCGGUGCCCACUAGGGGAGAGCUGGCCACGGGGAGCCAUCCCAAGGGCCACAGGCAGGCUGGGCUUCCCGGACUCCUCAGACUCCCUCUCCCCAGGGAGUGACGGGGAGGGACCAGUGCUGUUCUGCCCCCACCCGUGGAGUCAGCCUGCCUCCAAGGAAACCCGAGGAGGGGGCAGAGGCGUCCCUAUGGCAGUAACAAAUGUCCUGAAGGACCCAAAUAGAGGCUGAGAUCUAGAGUGACGGGCUAGGGCAGGUGGUAACCAAGCCAGGAAUGGGACGAGAUGCCAGAACCAGCAGGAGAUCUGUUCAAGUCCUAACCCCUUGGUUCCUGUAAAUGUGACCUUAUUUGGAAAAAGGUCUUUGCAGAUGCAAGUGAAGGAUCUUGAGCUGACAUCAUCCUGGCUUUAGGGUCCUAUUCACGGUUACUGGGAGCUGGAGCUUCAACAGAUCUUUUGGGAAGACACAAUUCAACUCACGACAGGGAGGAAGAAUUGCGAGUACUUGCUACUGCUGUGAUGCCGUGGAGUGAGCAGAAAGUUGGUAGAACCCAACCCACAAAUCCCCGCAGAUAUGGAGGGCCAACAGUAAUCGCCGUACCUCCUCCUAAGUUUGUUACAAAGAGUAAGUGAGAAAAUACAUAUGAAGGAUUUGGCACAGUUCCUACCAGAUGUUAUCACUGUUAUUAUAAGAACAAAAGGAGACCCAUGGAAACUCAAGACCCAGAGGGUUAAAUUUAUUGGGGCCUUUGAUGGAACUAUUCACAAAUCUUUGGCCGGAUGUAGUGGAUCAUGCCUAUAAUCCCACAAGUUUGGGAUACAAAAGCAGGAGGAUGGCUUGAGCUCAGGAGUUUGAGGCCAGGCAACAUGCCAAAACCCUGUCUCUACAAAAAAUUAAAAAUUAGCCGGGCAUGAUAGUGCACGCCUAUAGUCCCAGCUACUAGGGAGGCUGAGGCAGGAGGAUGGCUUGAGCCCAGGAGGUCGAGGCUGCAGUGAGCCAUGUUUGCACCACUGCACUCCAGCCUGGGUGACAGGGGAAGACCCUGUCUCAAAAAAAGCAAAAAAAAUAUAUAUAUAUAUACACACAAUGUUUUGCCUUGGGGAAGGUAAACUUCUAAAAGAUUGUUGGACUUGAAAAUGGAAGCAUAGAUAUAAACUAACUGGGCCGUUUUUUCUAUGGAGAGCUCCUCCCCUAUGGACGGUCUAAAUUUCCUAUUACUGAAAUCUACCAUGCCCACUCACUCAAACCUAGUCCCCCCUUUUUCUUCAUUGUGUCAUCAUCUCAGUCACAUUGGGGCAGAAAAAUGCACACUUUAAAGGGAUUUCACAUGUGCCCAAUGUUUAUUCUUAUGUCACUUAAAUGUCGCCUCUGCUAUGUACAAAAGCCUGGUUGAGAUGAGCACUUAGAACGGGCAACAUUUGGAGGGUUUGGCCUCACAGAUGGUCAACACUCUGGGUUGGCAAAUUCCAGUCUGGCUUUCUUUGCUGUUGUCACGGAGUUGCUGUUGCCAUGGCAUUUGUGUGUGUGAGGGAGACGAUCCUGCAUCUCGUCAGCUUCUGGAACACUCACCCAGAGCCUCGGAACAAGGUGGUGGGAAGACUGUCUGCAGAGAGAAUAAAGGAGCGUGGGAAGGAGUCGUUCUGGGCUCUCGCACCCUGUGUUAAUAGCAGCUGGGGAAGAGGAAGGGGUGCCUCUGUCAUCUCUAAACCAGAAGAGAUGGAUUGAGGCAUCGUGCAAAUGUGGACAAGGGUGACGGCAAGGCAUGCUGGGGUCUCAGCAGCACAGGCCAGUGAGGCAGGGGAUGUCAGAUGGAGGGCCUUCUACUGGCUUUGUGCCUGCCCCUCCCCUGCAUCAGCCAGCUCCCCAUUCAACAGCCCAGGUCACAUUUUGAAAAGAUAAAUUGCAUCAUUCCACUGUUCAAAACGCCUCGGUGGCCUCCAGUCACCCUCAAAAUAGAAUCUGAGCUCCCUUCUUGGCCUACAGAGCACCACGUGAUCUGAACUCCACUUCUGAGCUUUCCUUGAUUCUUUCCUCUGGCUUCCCUCAUGGCCCUCCACCGCGGUGGAGCUUCCUUCUGCUGUCCCUCACAUUUGGCAGGUUCAUUUCCUCCUCAGGGCCUUUGCACGGGCAGUUUCUUUCUGGAAGGCUAUUUGUUCAGGUUUUCACAGGAGGGCUUCUCCUUGUCAUUCAGAUCUCAGGUCCAAUGUCACCUCUCAGAGAGCGCCUCACCCCAUGUGAAAUGCACAAGUACAGAUCACGCCUCAGACCCACUACAUUUUCUUCAUGUCACUCAGAGCUAUGAUCUGUUACUUGUUUGUUGCCUGUCUCUCCUAAUAGAACAAAAGCCCAGUGAGGGCAGAGGUUUGCCUGUUUCCCAAGAACCUAAAUCAGUGUAUGGCACAUAGAGAAGCCAGCAUUUGUUGAUGGAUUCUGAAUGAAUAAGUGACCAGCAGCAUUGGAACCCAUGGUCUCCUUUCCUCAAAGCCAGUGCCCUUAACCCUGGAAUAAAUGAGGUGCAAAGCCUGGGAAGGCACUUCUCAGCCCCCUGAGGAGGGGCAGACAAUACCACAGAAGUCCUCAGCCACAGACACCAUUCCAAGGAGACUCUAUUUCUAAGGAUCGGUUCUUUGAUGGUUAGUUGGUUAAAAACAUCACACUGUGUCAAAUGAAAAGAGACUCAUCUAGAAUCCUGCUAUGGUCUGAAUGUGUCCCCCCGAAAGCAUGUGUUGGAAACUUAAUCCUCGAGGCAACAGUUUUGGGAGGUGGGGCCUAAUGGGAGGUGUUUCGGUUACAAAGGCUCUAUUCUCAUUAAUAGAUCAAUGCCAGAUCUAAAAGGACUUGAGGCUGUGAGUUCCAUCUCUUGUUCUCUCUCACCCUCUUGCCUUCCACCAUGGGGUGAUACAAGAAUGCCCUCGACAGAUGCUAGCACUUUGAUACUGGAUUUCCCACCCUCCAAAGCUGAAAAAUAAAUUUCUUUCCUUUAUAAAUUAUGCAGUCUGUGGUAUUCUGUUAUAGCCACAUAAAAUGGAUUAUGACAAAUCCUGAUCUUGUUCUUGACAGUAGAUCCCAAAUUGUAAGCUUCUCCCCGUAACAGACCAUCAGAUGGUCUGUUAUUCCUGAGAUCUGAUCCUUGUCAUUCAGAUCUCAGGUCCAAUGUCACCAUCCCCAUCGCUUCCUCAUUAUAUGCCCAGCAAAUGUGUAACUUGGUGCCUGACUGCAC